CCCUUAGAUGUUCUGGGCCGCACGCGCGCUACACUGAUGCAUUCAACGAGUCUAAAACCUGCCCUGAUAGGGGUGGGUAAUCUUUUGAAUGUGCAUCGUGAUUGGGAUAGAUGAUUGAAAUUUUUCAUCUUCAACGAGGAAUGCCUAGUAAACGCAAGUCAUCAGCUUGCAUUGAUUACGUCCCUGCCCUUUGUACACACCGCCCGUCGCUCCUACCGAUUGAAUGAUCCGAUGAAUAUCAUGGAUUGAGGAUGCAAGUAGGUUCACCUAUCUUCAUCUUCGAGAAGUGAAGUAAAUCUUAUCAUUUAGAGGAAGGAGAAGUCGUAACA
rnacentral:rRNA from 1 species